CUAGAAAAGAACCUGUAGAUUGAAUAG
rnacentral:piRNA from 1 species